CCACACCUCUGAAACAGGUGCUAAAGCCACCAUGGGCUCACCAGGCCAGUUCUAUUCUGUACAAAGAACCCCUGAAACUCCAAGAAGAUGAAUAAUUCAAUUUAAAAACCAGCAAACGACCAGAACAUACGUCUCACCAAAGAUACUCUUGAUGGCAAAGCCUGCCAACAAGUGCUACAGAUCCUUCUUUCCGAUAUCAAGAUCCAUAAUUCCUGCUAUUUCUAGAACACCCCCUGUGAUGAACCAUGGCUUGUCAUGGCCACGUGAUAAAACUGAGGCCCUGAAUGUAAGACCAAAGGAAAAACUGAUAUUCUUUGACCUGCUUCUCUUUGCUUCAUUUUUUUUUACCUGCUCCUGGACAUCUUCAAACUCUGAGCUGAGCAACUCUAUGAAGAUGGGCACAGCUCCUGCCUGAAUCACAAUCCGCG